AUAAAAGCUGACAAGGGCACACGGAGGAUGCCUAGGCAACAGCAGCCGAUGAAGGACGUGAUAAGCUGCGAUAAGCCGGGAGGAGAUGCACAUAAUCGUUAAUCCCCGGAUUUCCGAAUGGGAAAACCUGCAUGCCUGGAGGGCAUGCGUGAAAACGGUAAGCCCGCGAACUGAAACAUCUAAGUAGCGGGAGGAAAGGAAAGUAAAAACGAUUCCCUGAGUAGCGGCGAGCGAACGGGGAAAAGCCUAAACCGUGCCAGUGCCAAGCGGACAGCGUUGCUGGCACGGGGUUGCGGGACUUCCAUUAACGGAUUGUCAUAAUGUUUAAACUGUAUGCAUGUAAGUGGAAUCAGCUGGGAAGCUGGACCAAAGAAGGUGAUAGUCCUGUAGAACAUAAAAUACAUAUAGUGACUGGAAGCACCCGAGUAGCGUCAGGCACGAGGAAUCUGGCGUGAAUCAGCGUGGACCAUAUCACGCAAGGCUAAAUACUGCUGUUGACCGAUAGUGAAGAGUACC
rnacentral:ncRNA from 1 species